rnacentral:lncRNA from 1 species
CAUGUGUGAAUCGAAUUGGAAUCGGCAUAAUUAUGGACUUAAUGGAAUCCUGGAGUUACUGAGGUUCUAGUGCAAUCGCACCUGCACACUUUGGGAUGUAUGUAUGGCACUGCAGAAGCAGCCUGUGAGCCGUAGAAGUGAAGUUCGGUCUGUCUAGUUGGGACCGCAUGUGCAAUCAGCUUUCUGUAGAAGCAGGCGUUGA